CCACGACAAAAUUUAUGUUUGGAUAGGUUGGAUUAAGGACGUUUCCUUCACCUGCAAGAUAUUCUGAAUUUUUGCUUUAAGGAAGUGGAUCAAUGUUGCGACUUAUAGAUGUAAUCAACCAUGUAUCCUAAACCAGGAAGUCACGAAAUGCAGCGAACUGAUAUACAAAAAAGGAUUGCUGCCUUGGUAAGAGAGAGCAAAAACUUAAAUACAUCAAUCAGACAACUCAAGGAGAAACUUUCAGUAAGGCAUAAUUUACCACUCCAGCAGGCGGGAAGCGACGAUUUUGAUUCAAGAGCCUCUCAUAGUGUUUCAAAAAGGACUGAAAAUCCAAAACUCCUCAUGAAGAAGCUUAAAAUUUCUGAAUGGAUUAACAAAGUAGUUUACACAAAUGAUGAAAUAAAACUCUUGGAUGAUGGCUCAAGUCAGUACAUUGCUGAUGCUGUAACAGGACCAGUUACUUUCCAAGUUCAGUUUGUUGUAGAAGAUAUCAAGAAUAAAGAAAUGAUUCUUCAUUCAUUGAAAAUUAGGUAUAUUGAUCCUUUCCAUGAAGCUGAACUCAAGACUUUCAGUAACAGGUGUAUGAGGCAAAACAGUUUUCAGAAACUUAUCAGAGGUGUAGUAAGCUAUGGGGAAUUGUUUGCAAAUAGAGAAGAAACUACAGACUGGCUUACUGAAAAAAAUGGACAUUUUACUGUUAAUAAACACCAUGAAGAUGGAGCAUAUAAUAUCACUGCUAAGGCCGAAGGAAGAACAGUUUCAUAUUUCACUUGUGAAUGGAAAAUAAUUUGGAAUGAAGGAUCAUUAGCUAUGAUUCCAUCUUUUACUAUCCGAGCAAAUAAUAAAAGUAAUUUCUACAAAGAGAACGAGUACCACUUCGACAAAAUUGUCUCAUCUGGUAUUACACAAGAUGAGAUAAUAGAGUUAUGGAAGGAACUUGCAAAGGCUGUAAUAAUUGAAAAUGAGUUGGCAAGUCAUGUAAUUCAGAAAAAUGUGCCAUGAAUUAUUGCAAGUUAUUAUGAAGAUGUGUCAGUGCAAAUACAAACACUUUAAAAGACCACACAGUUUCAGAAUUGGAUACAUGUUUCAGGUGGAGGGUAACUCCAAAUAUAUUGAAUGACAAGUCAUAAGACAGCCAAGAAAAGAUGGUCCUACAGAUUUAAGGUUGCAUUUUAUAAAGCAUGGGAAAGAUUACUAAUGCAUACAAAAUUUUAGCAAGAAAGCUUGAAGGGAAGAGGCCACUAGGGUGAUGUAGGUACUACUUCAAUCAGAACAUAUACUUCACUUUACCUUUUAACAGAGUGCCUUUUAAAAACCAUUUCAUGUGAAAGUGCAAUUUACUGUAUAUAUCUAGCCAGCAGAGGAUGAUACAUGCGCAUCUUCUACAGCUCCCGCACUAAAGGAAGAAGUAUACAGUAUUCUGUUUUCACAUUAACUUCUUUUCUUGUGUGAUAUGAGAGGAGAAAGGGAAGGAAAUUUGGCCUGAUACACACUCCAAACGUAUGCCAGGUGUUUUGUGCAGAUUAUAAUGCUCGUUUAUUUCAAACAAGUAAAAAAAAAAGCACCUUUAAAACUCAUCUUUAUUACAAACUUAUAUAAAACUACUCUAACAGAACUUAGUACAAUGCACUUAAUUCAAGUAGAUCUUAAUCUGAGACUUCAUAGAAAGUGUCAUGUUUCUGUUCAAGAAUGUAAUACUAAGGCAUUGAACACAUUUUACACAAUAUGAAAUACAAUAAUGUCACUGAUCAGUUUAUGGAAUUUUGGCAUACGAUACUUAUCACAGACAUAAGAGUGUGCAUAUAUAUAUAUAUAUGACACACAAAAGAAUUGCCUAGAAAAAAAAUUCUCAUGACCAGAGACAAAAGAAUGCUUAAUGCUUUAAAUUUGUUUAAUUGAAACUAAAUUCAGUUUUGAAUACACUUUACAAAAAUUGUCAACUUCCUCAGAGUACUACUUUGGUGAACACUGUUUCUCUGUUUUUUCUUUUUAAUGUAGCUUUAUUCAUGUUCCAUUGAAAUAUAAAUUUCUGCUUCUCACAUAUCAACACAUUUUAGAUGCAUGUAAUAGCCACCACAUUCAUAUCUAUACAAUAAAGAGGUGGUAAGGCUGCAACUAAUCACAGGAACUUGAGAGACAUAUAUUUCCACUAAAUGUAAAAAAUGAUGUAAUGCAGAUGAAAGGAAGAUACUAAAAAAUAUGAAAAAUCUCAACAGACAAUGUUUUUGUAUUUGUGAGCACUAAAACUAAAAUAAGCAAGCAUUACACAAAAUAAAUGCAACAGCAGCCAUCUAAAAA